ACGGAAGGCAGCAGUGGGGAAUAUUGCACAAUGGGGGAAACCCUGAUGCAGCGACGCCGCGUGAGUGAAGAAGUAUUUCGGUAUGUAAAGCUCUAUCAGCAGGAAAGAAAAUGACGGUACCUGACUAAGAAGCCCCGGCUAACUACGUGCCAGCAGCCGCGGUAAUACGUAGGGGGCAAGCGUUAUCCGGAUUUACUGGGUGUAAAGGGAGCGUAGACGGCUUUGCAAGUCUGAAGUGAAAGCCCGGGGCUCAACCCCGGAACUGCUUUGGAAACUGUAGAGCUAGAGUGCAGGAGAGGUAAGUGGAAUUCCUAGUGUAGCGGUGAAAUGCGUAGAUAUUAGGAGGAACACCAGUGGCGAAGGCGGCUUACUGGACUGUAACUGACGUUGAGGCUCGAAGGCGUGGGGAGCAAACAGAAUUAGAUACCCUGGUA
rnacentral:rRNA from 1 species